AUGGGCAUGUUGUGUUGCCAUGCUAUCCAGGUCAUGCUAAAUUUGGGAGUUAGGGAGAUCCAACAUGUACACAUCAUGAAGAGAUGGACAAAGAAUGCUUGUGAGAACCUGCCAGAGCAUCUGAAGAUAUAUCAAGCAGGCAAUUCCGCACUGAAGGACGCAACUUACCGACACUCUAGCUUGUACAGUAAGGCACUCGAGAUUGUACAGAUGGGGGAUAAGAACACCGAAGCUUACAUAGCUGCAAUGAAGCAGUUACUAGAUGCAAUAAGUGUUCUAAACGAUACCAACCAGGAGAGUGAUGGGCUGGGAUUACAUGAUAAGGCAGCGGCUCCAGUGCACGACCAAGAUAUGCCUGUUACACCAGGAGCAAACAAACUGUCAGGAUCGAUGAAUGUUGUAUCACGCAAGAGGGACCGAGGCAGGCCAACAAAUGCAAGAGCAAAGCCAGGUUAUGAAAAUGUCAGUAAACCAAGAUCAAAGUUUUGCUCUGUGUGUAGAGGGAGGGGUCAUAAAGCAUCUAAAUGCCCCUCAUAUGGAGGCGCAACAAAGAAGCAAAGGAAAGUCCCGAAAUGUACCAAGUGCGACCUGGAAGGCCACAAGAGGAAUAGCUGCUCUGGAAGCUUGUUCGGCGUCUUCCAAUGA
rnacentral:rRNA from 1 species